UCUUUCCUCGCCAGGCUCAUAAUAAAAUUUAUUGUUGUAGCAGCUAUCGUGCUUACUCUUGAAGAAGAACAAAAUAGUAGUAAUGGUACGGCCGGAUCGGACCCAGCGGAAUGAUGAGAGAUAAGAGGCUUGUUGUUAGCGCCGAAAGCGGCCGGAGAAGUCAGCUGUAGAGUUGUGCAUACUGACCUAUGAUGAAUGAUGUGAUGUACUGAUUAUGAUAGGACCUUCGAACAGCGGUGCGCUUCAAGGAAGGAACAGUAAUUUUCUUGACGCUAGCGAACCUUCAGGGCCGCUUUCAAGUUUGGGAUGUCGCUUGCUACGAUGUCGCGCUUUCAGAAUGAAACGUCGUCCACUAAUGCGGACUACUUACUGCUAACAUGCAGUGCAACAUCUAUACAGGCCGUCAGCAGCAAGAAACACAAUCAUGGCAGCGUUUAUAAUGAUCUUCGCCCGCUACCGCCACUUUCCAGCCGAACCUGGACCAUGGAUGACGGUUCGGUAGAGACAGAAUUACUGGUGCACCCCAGCUAGCUACGGACCAGGACUAUAGGAGUGACUGGUGUUCAGCUGGAGGACUAUAGGAGUGACUGGUGUUCAGCUGGAGUCGGAAGCCCAUGCCUGCUGCAUAUACUUGGAGUGGAGCUGACAGAGACGGGUCAGAGCUUUGAAUACAGGCAGCCACACAGCUCGCACAAAGAAAUCCAGGGACAUGGAAGACGACCAAGACAUGUACUGAGUUUGAUUGCAUUGGCAAAGUCAACAACAGGGUCACGGAUAUCGAUCGGCAAAAAUAACGCAAUCUUGUCAGUGCGAGGGCAUGAUAAGUUGCGCCAGCGGGAGAUGCAACAGCAGCAGUAAUGCUGAUGGCGGACUACAGCGGCCAUGAUAGGUCAAUGCAGCAAGAGGAGAAUCAGUCAUAGUCAUGCCAGGUUUGAAAACUGCAUCAAGGCAGCAAAGCAGCAACAAUAGUAUUAGCACCAGCCUGUUACAUCAGCAGCAGCAGCAGCUUCACCAGCAGCAGCAGCUUCACCAGCAGCAGC